rnacentral:rRNA from 1 species
GUUAUAGAAUCAAGUGACUAAGCGUAUGUGGUGGAUGCCUAGGCGAUAAGAGGCGAUGAAGGACGUAGUAAUCUGCGAUAAGCCCCGGCGAGCUGAUAAACUAGCUUUGACCCGAGGAUUUCCGAAUGGGGAAACCCGGCACCUUAAGGUGUCAUCGUUGUUUGAAUACAUAGAACAACGAAGCUAACCCGGAGAACUGAAACAUCUAAGUACCCGGAGGAACAGAAAUCAACCGAGAUUCCCUUAGUAGCGGCGAGCGAACGGGGACCAGCCCUUAAGCUGUGUUGAAGAUAAGAGAACACGUUGGGAAGCGUGGCCAGAGUAGGUGAUAGCCCUGUAUCUGAAAUUUUCUUCGCAGUGAAAUCGAGUAGGUCGGGACACGUGAUAUCCUGACUGAACAUGGGGGGACCAUCCUCCAAGGCUAAAUACUCCUUAUCGACCGAUAGUGAACCAGUACCGUGAGGGAAAGGCGAAAAGAACCCCGGAGAGGGGAGUGAAAUAGAACCUGAAACCGCAUACGUACAAGCAGUGGGAGCCCCUCG